AUCGAACGCUGGCGGCAGGCCUAACACAUGCAAGUCGAGCGGAUGAAGGGAGCUUGCUCCUGGAUUCAGCGGCGGACGGGUGAGUAAUGCCUAGGAAUCUGCCUGGUAGUGGGGGAUAACGUCUGGAAACGGGCGCUACUACCGCAUACGUCCUGAGGGAGAGAGUGGGGGAGCUUCGGACCUCACGCUAUCAGAUGAGCCUAGGUCGGAUUAGCUAGUUGGUGGGGUAAAGGCCUACCAAGGCGACGAUCCGUAACUGGUCUGAGAGGAUGAUCAGUCACACUGGAACUUAGACACGGUCCUGGCUCCUACGGUAGGCAGCAGUGUGGAAUAUGAGACAAUGGUCGAAAGCCUGAUCCAGUCAUGCCACGUGUGUGAAGAAGGUCUUCGGAGUGUAAAGCACUUUAAGUUGGUAGGAAGGGCAGUAAGUUAAUACCUUGCUGUUUUGACGUUACCAACAGAAUAAGCACCGGCUAACUUCGUG
rnacentral:rRNA from 1 species